UACGUAGGGCGCAAGCGUUAUCCGGAAUUAUUGGGCGUAAAGAGCUCGUAGGUGGUUUGUCGCGUCUGCCGUGAAAGUCCGGGGCUCAACUCCGGAUCUGCGGUGGGUACGGGCAGACUAGAGUGAUGUAGGGGAGACUGGAAUUCCUGGUGUAGCGGUGAAAUGCGCAGAUAUCAGGAGGAACACCGAUGGCGAAGGCAGGUCUCUGGGCAUUAACUGACGCUGAGGAGCGAAAGCAUGGGGGAGCGAACAGG
rnacentral:rRNA from 1 species